AAGUCGAGCGGUAGCACAAGGGAGCUUGCUCCCUGGGUGACGAGCGGCGGACGGGUGAGUAAUGUCUGGGAAACUGCCUGAUGGAGGGGGAUAACUACUGGAAACGGUAGCUAAUACCGCAUAACGUCGCAAGACCAAAGAGGGGGACCUUCGGGCCUCUUGCCAUCAGAUGUGCCCAGAUGGGAUUAGCUAGUAGGUGGGGUAAUGGCUCACCUAGGCGACGAUCCCUAGCUGGUCUGAGAGGAUGACCAGCCACACUGGAACUGAGACACGGUCCAGACUCCUACGGGAGGCAGCAGUGGGGAAUAUUGCACAAUGGGCGCAAGCCUGAUGCAGCCAUGCCGCGUGUGUGAAGAAGGCCUUCGGGUUGUAAAGCACUUUCAGCGAGGAGGAAGGUGGUGAACUUAAUACGUUCAUCAAUUGACGUUACUCGCAGAAGAAGCACCGGCUAACUCCGUGCCAGCAGCCGCGGUAAUACGGA
rnacentral:rRNA from 1 species